rnacentral:rRNA from 1 species
UACGUAGGGUGCGAGCGUUAAUCGGAAUUACUGGGCGUAAGCGUGACGCAGGCGGUUCGUUGUGUCUGCUGUGAAAUCCCCGGGCCUCAACCUGGGAAUGGGCAGUGGAACUAGGCGAGCUUGAGUGUGGCAGAGGGGGGUGGAAUUCCGCGUGUAGCAGUGAAAUGCGUAGAGAUGCGGAGGAACACCGAUGGCGAAGGCAACCCCCUGGGCUGACACUGACGCUCAGGCACGAAAGCGUGGGGAGCGAACAGG